UACGGGGGGGGCAAGCGUUGUUCGGAAUUAUUGGGCGUAAAGGGCUCGUAGGCGGUUUGUCGCGUCGGGAGUGAAAACCUUGGGCUUAACUCAGGGCUUGCUUUCGAUACGGGCAGACUAGAGGUAUGCAGGGGAGAACGGAAUUCCUGGUGUAGCGGUGAAAUGCGCAGAUAUCAGGAGGAACACCGAUGGCGAAGGCAGGUCUCUGGGCCACUACUGACGCUGAGAAGCGAAAGCAUGGGGAGCGAACAGG
rnacentral:rRNA from 1 species